rnacentral:rRNA from 1 species
UUGAAGAGUUUGAUCAUGGCUCAGAUUGAACGCUGGCGGCAGGCCUAACACAUGCAAGUCGAACGGUAACAGGAAUCAGCUUGCUGUUUCGCUGACGAGUGGCGGACGGGUGAGUAAUGUCUGGGAAACUGCCUGAUGGAGGGGGAUAACUACUGGAAACGGUAGCUAAUACCGCAUAACGUCGCAAGACCAAAGAGGGGGACCUUCGGGCCUCUUGCCAUCGGAUGUGCCCAGAUGGGAUUAGCUUGUUGGUGGGGUAACGGCUCACCAAGGCGACGAUCCCUAGCUGGUCUGAGAGGAUGACCAGCCACACUGGAACUGAGACACGGUCCAGACUCCUACGGGAGGCAGCAGUGGGGAAUAUUGCACAAUGGGCGCAAGCCUGAUGCAGCCAUGCCGCGUGUAUGAAGAAGGCCUUCGGGUUGUAAAGUACUUUCAGCGGGGAGGAAGGGAGUAAAGUUAAUACCUUUGCUCAUUGACGUUACCCGCAGAAGAAGCACCGGCUAACUCCGUGCCAGCAGCCGCGGUAAUACGGAGGGUGCAAGCGUUAAUCGGAAUUACUGGGCGUAAAGCGCACGCAGGCGGUUUGUUAAGUCAGAUGUGAAAUCCCCGGGCUCAACCUGGGAACUGCAUCUGAUACUGGCAAGCUUGAGUCUCGUAGAGGGGGGUAGAAUUCCAGGUGUAGCGGUGAAAUGCGUAGAGAUCUGGAGGAAUACCGGUGGCGAAGGCGGCCCCCUGGACGAAGACUGACGCUCAGGUGCGAAAGCGUGGGGAGCAAACAGGAUUAGAUACCCUGGUAGUCCACGCCGUAAACGAUGUCGACUUGGAGGUUGUGCCCUUGAGGCGUGGCUUCCGGAGCUAACGCGUUAAGUCGACCGCCUGGGGAGUACGGCCGCAAGGUUAAAACUCAAAUGAAUUGACGGGGGCCCGCACAAGCGGUGGAGCAUGUGGUUUAAUUCGAUGCAACGCGAAGAACCUUACCUGGUCUUGACAUCCACGGAAGUUUUCAGAGAUGAGAAUGUGCCUUCGGGAACCGUGAGACAGGUGCUGCAUGGCUGUCGUCAGCUCGUGUUGUGAAAUGUUGGGUUAAGUCCCGCAACGAGCGCAACCCUUAUCCUUUGUUGCCAGCGGUCCGGCCGGGAACUCAAAGGAGACUGCCAGUGAUAAACUGGAGGAAGGUGGGGAUGACGUCAAGUCAUCAUGGCCCUUACGACCAGGGCUACACACGUGCUACAAUGGCGCAUACAAAGAGAAGCGACCUCGCGAGAGCAAGCGGACCUCAUAAAGUGCGUCGUAGUCCGGAUUGGAGUCUGCAACUCGACUCCAUGAAGUCGGAAUCGCUAGUAAUCGUGGAUCAGAAUGCCACGGUGAAUACGUUCCCGGGCCUUGUACACACCGCCCGUCACACCAUGGGAGUGGGUUGCAAAAGAAGUAGGUAGCUUAACCUUCGGGAGGGCGCUUACCACUUUGUGAUUCAUGACUGGGGUGAAGUCGUAACAAGGUAACCGUAGGGGAACCUGCGGUUGGAUCACCUCCUU